CUGGUGCUUCGCGGGGGCCAAGGGACACGCCGUCGUCUCCUUGUCGCAUCCCAUCGAGGUCACGCACAUCACGAUCAGCCACAUCACAAAAAGGCAGUCACUCACCGGGGAAAUCAACAGUGCGCCGAGGGAGUUCUCCGUCUACGGAUUGGUGCACGACAACGACGAAGGCAUCCACCUGGGGAGCUUCGCAUACAGCAAAAACGGCCUGAGCUCCCAGACCUUUGAGCUGCCUGUCCCAGUCAAAGAUGUCUUCAGCCACGUCAAGCUGGAGAUAAAGACAAACUGGGGGGAUGAAGACCAAACGUGCCUCUACAACUUCAGGGUGCACGGGUAUCCGGUGUCUGGUUAGGGUGUAGA